rnacentral:rRNA from 1 species
CAGUAGCCGCGGUAAUACAGAGGGUGCGAGCGUUAAUCGGAUUUACUGGGCGUAAAGCGUGCGUAGGCGGCUUUUUAAGUCGGAUGUGAAAUCCCUGAGCUUAACUUAGGAAUUGCAUUCGAUACUGGGAAGCUAGAGUAUGGGAGAGGAUGGUAGAAUUCCAGGUGUAGCGGUGAAAUGCGUAGAGAUCUGGAGGAAUACCGAUGGCGAAGGCAGCCAUCUGGCCUAAUACUGAGGCUGAGGUACGAAAGCAUGGGGAGCAAACAGGAUUAGAUACCCCCGUAGUCCCUGUCUCUUAUAC